rnacentral:rRNA from 1 species
GAUGAACGCUAGCGGCAGGCUUAACACAUGCAAGUCGAGGGGUAGAGGAAGCUUGCUUCCUUGAGACCGGCGCACGGGUGCGUAACGCGUAUGCAACCUACCUUUUACAGAGGGAUAGCCCAGAGAAAUUUGGAUUAAUACCUCAUGGUAUAUAUCAUUCACAUGUUUGAUAUAUUAAAGUUCCAACGGUAAAAGAUGGGCAUGCGUCCUAUUAGCUAGAUGGUAAGGUAACGGCUUACCAUGGCAACGAUAGGUAGGGGUCCUGAGAGGGAGAUCCCCCACACUGGUACUGAGACACGGACCAGACUCCUACGGGAGGCAGCAGUGAGGAAUAUUGGACAAUGGGCGCAAGCCUGAUCCAGCCAUGCCGCGUGCAGGAAGAAGCAUCUAUGGUGUGUAAACUGCUUUUGUACGGGAAGAAACACUCCUUCGUGAAGGAGCUUGACGGUACCGUAAGAAUAAGGAUCGGCUAACUCCGUGCCAGCAGCCGCGGUAAAAC